GUGAACUGAGGGAGAGGGGGCGGUGUAAUACGAGGGUUGCAAACGUUGCUCGGGAGUAUGUGGCUUAAAGCAGACGGAGGCGGAUUGUCAAGUCCCAGUUGAAAUCCCACGGCUUAACCGUGGAAGGUGAUGGGAAACUGCUGAGCUUGAGUACUUAAGAGGAGCGCGGAAUUCCCGGUGGAGAGGUGAAAUUCGUAGAUAUCGGGAGGAACACCAGUGGCGAAGGCGGCGAUCUGGGAAGAUACUGACGCUGAGGUGCGAAAGCGUGGGGAGCAAACAGGAUUAGAUACCCUAGUAGUC
rnacentral:rRNA from 1 species